GAUUUCUGUUUCCGACCUUGUAUAGGAAUUAACAUGAAUGGAGACUGAUGGAACAGCUCCAGGUGGGACACCGGUCUCUGUUGCUUAACAGUCAAAAGAAGUCUGAAAGCAUCAGUGGGGAUUGCAAGUUCUACAGAUAUUUGGAAUUUAUGCAAAAACUUAUGGCAUGAGAAAUCUUGGAGGGUGGAGGCCUUGUGACAUCACUCCUCUGGGGUUAAAGAGCGUCACUGCGACAUGCUGAAACCAUAACAACGUGGUUUUUCUGCAUUUACACAGCUGAGGUGUGUGUUGUUGGUUUGAGUCAUGUCUGACACUUUAAUUCCCUCCUUUCCUGUCCUGAAAGCUUGUAAGAAACAGCCAAUCUGACUUUGACACAUGGUCACAGAGGAUCAUAU